AAUUAACUGGAAGCACACACACAGCUGCGGGACCGCAGGGAGGGGCGGGAGGCGGGGCGAUGUCCCCGCCACCCUUUCAUUUCCGCCGCUCACCACGGGCUGCCCCUGAAACUCAGCCGCGUUGGGGACAGGAUGGCCGCUUCACCUCGGAGCCUCAGUUUCCCACUCUGUCAAAAGAGAAUAAUGACGCCAGCUGUAUGCUCUCACAGGGUUACUGAGGAUUUCAAAGGAGACAAUGAGCAUUGUCUUCGGAUCCAGAUGUACCUCUCUCCCUUCUCUACCCAGCCAGCCUCCUUUAAAAACAAAGAUUUCAAUAGGAAAAAAGAAAACGAUUUCGUGAAAUCAAC
rnacentral:lncRNA from 1 species